CCCGUCCCGCGGCCAUUCCAGGGUGGAUCCCGACGGAUCCACACCCUUCCCACAAAACCUCCAGUUUUCCAAGGAAAAACCCAAAACCUCCAUUUUUUCCUUGGGAAUCCCCAAAACCUCCAUUUUUUCCAAGGAAAACCCCAAAAUCUCCAUUUUUCCAAGGAAAACUCCAAAACCUCCAGUUUUCCAAGGGAAAACCACAAAACCUCCAUUUUUUUCCAAGCAAACCCCAAAACCUCCAUUUUUUUUUUUUUGAGGUGAACCCCAAACCCUCCAUUUUUUCCAACCUCCAUUUUUCUCCAAGGAAACCCCCAAACCCUCCAUUUUUUGUCCAACCUCCAUUUUUUCCAAGGAAAGUCCCAAAUUCUCCAUUUUUUUCCAACCUCCCUUUUUUUCCAAGGAAAAACCCCAAAACCUCCAUUUUUCAAAAUAACCCCCAAAACCUCCAAUUUUUCCAAGGAAAACCCCCCAAACCUCCAUUUUUUUCCAGCCUCAAUUUCUUCCAAUCUCCAUUUUUUCCAACCUCCAUUUUUCCAAGGAAAACCUCCAUUUUUUUUUCCAAGCAAAUCCCAAAACCUCCAUUUUUUUGAGGUAAACCCCCAAAACCUCCAUUUUUUGUCCAACCUCCAUUUUUUGUCCAACCUCCAUUUUCUUCCAACCUCCAUUUUUCCAAUGAAAACCUCCAUUUUUCCAAGGAAAAACCCCAAAACCUCCAUUUUUUGUCCAACCUCCAUUUUUUUUUCCAAGCAAAUCCCACAACCUCCAUUUUUUUUAGAGGUAAAACCCCAAAAUCUCCAUUUUCUUCCAACCUCCAUUUUUCCAA
rnacentral:lncRNA from 1 species